GAUGAAGAACGCAGCAAAAUGCGAUAAGUAAUGUGAAUUGCAGAAUUCAGUGAAUCAUCGAAUCUUUGAACGCACAUUGCGCCCCCUGGUAUUCCGGGGGGCAUGCCUGUCCGAGCGUCAUUACAACCCUCAAGCUCAGCUUGGUGUUGGGCCCCGCCGCCCCGGCGGGCCCUAAAGUCAGUGGCGGUGCCGUCCGGCUCCGAGCGUAGUAAUUCUUCUCGCUCUGGAGGCCCGGUCGUGUGCUCGCCAGCAACCCCCAAUUUUUUUCAGGUUGACCUCGGAUCAGGUAGGGAUACCCGCUGAACUUAAGCAUAUCAAUAAGCGGAGGA
rnacentral:misc_RNA from 1 species